CAGCAGCCGCGGUAAAACGGAGGGUGCAAGCGUUAUCCGGAUUUAUUGGGUUUAAAGGGUCCGUAGGCGGACUUAUAAGUCAGUGGUGAAAGCCUGUCGCUUAACGAUAGAACUGCCAUUGAUACUGUAAGUCUUGAGUAUAUUUGAGGUAGCUGGAAUAAGUAGUGUAGCGGUGAAAUGCAUAGAUAUUACUUAGAACACCAAUUGCGAAGGCAGGUUACCAAGAUAUAACUGACGCUGAGGGACGAAAGCGUGGGUAGCGAACAGGAUUAGAUACCCCCGUAGUCCCUGUCUCUUAUAC
rnacentral:rRNA from 1 species